UCACUUUCAACAACGGAUCUCUUGGCUCUCGCAUCGAUGAAGAACGUAGCGAAGUGCGAUAAGUAGUGUGAAUUGCAGAAUUCCGUGAAUCAUCGAAUCUUUGAACGCAAAUUGCACUCUCUUCGGAGAGUAUGCCUGUUUGAGGGUCGGU
rnacentral:rRNA from 2 species